rnacentral:rRNA from 1 species
CCAGACUCCUACGGGAGGCAGCAGUGGGGAAUAUUGCACAAUGGGGGAAACCCUGAUGCAGCAACGCCGCGUGAGUGAAGAAGUAUUUCGGUAUGUAAAGCUCUAUCAGCAGGGAAGAAAAUGACGGUACCUGAGUAAGAAGCCCCGGCUAACUACGUGCCAGCAGCCGCGGUAAUACGUAGGGGGCAAGCGUUAUCCGGAUUUACUGGGUGUAAAGGGAGCGUAGACGGCGAUACAAGUCUGAAGUGAAAGCCCGGGGCUCAACCCCGGGACUGCUUUGGAAACUGUGUUGCUGGAGUGCCGGAGAGGCAAGCGGAAUUUCUAGUGUAGCGGUGAAAUGCGUAGAUAUUAGGAAGAACACCAGUGGCGAAGGCGGCUUGCUGGACAGUAACUGACGUUGAGGCUCGAAAGCGUGGGGAGCAAACAGGAUUAGAUACCCCCGUAUA